rnacentral:rRNA from 1 species
GACGAACGCUGGCGGCGUGCUUAACACAUGCAAGUCGAACGGAAAGUCCCUGCUUUUUUGGGGUGCUCGAGUUGCGAACGGGUGAGUAACACUUGAGUAACCUGCCCUUGACUUUGGGAUAACUUCAGGAAACUUGGGCUAAUACCGGAUAGGAGCUCCUGCUGCAUGGUGGGGGUUGGAAAGUUUCGGCGGUUGGGGAUGGACUCGCGGCUUAUCAGCUUGUUGGUGGGGUAGUGGCUUACCAAGGCUUUGACGGGUAGCCGGCCUGAGAGGGUCGCCGGACAAAUUGGGACUGAGCUAAGGCACAGACUACUACGGGACGCAGCAGUGGGGAAUAUUGCACAAUGGGCGGAAGCAUGAUGCAGCAACGCCGCGUGCGGGAUAACGGCCUUCGGGUUGUAAACCGCUUUCGCCUGUGCCGAAGCGUGAGUGACGGUAAUGGGUAAAGAAGCACCGGCUAACUACGUG